AGUAGCAAGUCACAUGCCUCUCAUAGUCCUCAAGAGAAUAUGCCGGGGAAGGUGCAUCUGCUUAGUGGACAAGUACUUUUUGAGCUUCUGGAUGCAGUGAUGGGGCCUCAGAACACCGGGAUGAUACAGCCAGGCCUCUGCCUUCACGGAACUUACUGUCUCGGACUGGGGGUGGGGAGCACGGAGAGAUGCAGGAGAAUCAAGGAAGCCAAGAAUGAGAAAAUGUCAAUGCUGAAAAGAACAAAGCAGAGGCUCGUCAAUUCCAAUUUUGCCUAAUUAAUAAAUAAAUCAACACCUGAAAGGAAGUGGAAGUUGCCAAGAACUUUUGGCCUUAACCAAAAGGAAGCUACGGUUAUUCCCGGAAUGAGGUUCGUGCCCUGAAAGGGCUGCAGGCAGCAGCAGUGUCUGCCAGCAAAGUUUCAUGUUCGAGUCCUCACCGCACACAUUCCCCUCUGCUCCUCUGGGAGCAGGAACUGUCUUUUAUUU